GCAUAUCAAUAAGCGGAGGAAAAGAAACCAACAGGGAUUACCUCAGUAACGGCGAGUGAAGCGGUAACAGCUCAAAUUUGAAAUCUGGUCCCCUCUGGGGGCCCGAGUUGUAAUUUGAAGAGGAUGCUUUUGGCGAGGCGCCUUCCGAGUGCCCUGGAACGGGACGCCACAGAGGGUGAGAGCCCCGUAUGGUAGGACGCCGAGCCUCUGUAAAGCUCCUUCGACGAGUCGAGUAGUUUGGGAAUGCUGCUCAAAAUGGGAGGUAAACCCCUUCUAAAGCUAAAUAUUGGCCAGAGACCGAUAGCGCACAAGUAGAGUGAUCGAAAGAUGAAAAGCACUUUGAAAAGAGAGUUAAACAGCACGUGAAAUUGUUGAAAGGGAAGCGCUUGCGACCAGACUUGCGCCCGUCGGAUCAACCGUCCCUCGUGGGCGGCGCACUCCGGCGGGCUCAGGCCAGCAUCAGUUUUCCUGGGGGGAGAAAGGCGGCGGGAAUGUGGCUCUUCGGAGUGUUAUAGCCCGCCGUGUAAUGCCCCCGGGGGGACUGAGGACCGCGCGAAAGCAAGGAUGCUGGCGUAAUGGUCGUCAGCGACCCGUCUUGAAACACGGACCAAGGAGUCGUCCUAAUAUGCGAGUGUACGGGUGUAAAACCCCUGCGCGUAAUGAAAGUGAACGGAGGUGAGAGCUUCGGCGCAUCAUCGACCGAUCCUGAUGUUCUCGGAUGGAUUUGAGUAAGAGCAUAUUGGGCCGGACCCGAAAGAAGGUGAACUAUGCCUGUAUAGGGUGAAGCCAGAGGAAACUCUGGUGGAGGCUCGCAGCGGUUCUGACGUGCAAAUCGAUCGUCAAAUAUGGGCAUGGGGGGCGAAAGACUAAUCGAACCUUCUAGUAGCUGGGUUUCCCGCCGAAG
rnacentral:rRNA from 1 species